ACUCCUACGGGAGGCAGCAGUAGGGAAUCUUCCACAAUGGACGCAAGUCUGAUGGAGCAACGCCGCGUGGAUGAAGAAGGUCUUCGGAUCGUAAAAUCCUGUUGUUGAAGAAGAACGGUUGUGAGAGUAACUGCUCAUAGCGUGACGGUAAUCAACC
rnacentral:rRNA from 1 species